CCCUGGCUGCCUUUGGAAGACAGUCCUCUUCAGCUGCCUGCAGAUGAAGAUGCAGAACUCUUGUCUCCUCCAGUGUCACUGCCAUGCUUCCUGCCAUGAUGAUAAUGGACUGAAGCUCUAACCCUCUCCGGCAGCCAUCAUGGUCCUGUGAAUAGUUCGAGGAACACCAUUUGCAAGGUCAGACCCUUCGCUUCUGCUUGGCUUUAAAUCUCUCUUCAGAAGUUCUGCAAAGGAGCUGUGGUGUUGGUUGUUCUAGUUAACGAUUCCCCUAGAUUAUAGACAGGAGUGAGGUUAAUAAUAUAAGGGGUUAUCCAUCAACUAGGAAUAGGGAAAUUUAACCCAUCAUCGCAGAACCGUGUUUAGAAGUCUGGGGUUUGGAUUUUCCUAUUUCUCACUAAAAAAAGACUGUGGAGGCAGUAGAAAGUCCUUGCAGUUAAAAUCCCCACAGAGGGAUCCGUACGGAGAAACCAUAGACUUGCCAAAGCCAUCCUCUCGUAGCCGUGACAUCUGGCUAUAUUUAUUUGUAUGGAUCCGAGGCAUGCUGGAAAGCGUUACCCUCCUGUGCUGCCUGCUCAAGCUCUCCUCUGUUCCCUGACUUCCCUGGGAUAAGCUGCACUCCAAGAUCUUGCCAAUACAGACAGAACCAACCCAGCCUGCCGACCUUCUCCCUCCACCGACCGACACCCUAGAAACCCAUGGGCCGAAGUAAGACUUUUCCUUAGGCUGUUUCUGUAAGUUGUUUUGUCGAAUCUAGUACUGUGAUAGCCCCAAUGACCAAAAGUGACUUGGACAAGAAAAGGUUCAUUUCGCAUCACACAUUACAGACCACCGUGAAGGGAGGUCAGGGCAGGAACUUAGGCCAGAGACCUGGAGGAAGGGACUGAAAUGGAGCUGACAGAGAGGAACACCACUUACAGGCUUGCUCGGUGCUGGGAAGAGACACCGUGACCAUGGCAACUCUUAGAAAGGAAAGCAUUUAACUGGGGCUGGCUUACAGUUUGGAGUAGUCCAUUAUCGUCAUGUUGGGAGGCACGGGGCAUGCAGACAGACAUGGUUCUGGAGGGACAGCUGAGAAUUCUACAUCUAGAUUGACGGGCAGCAGGAAGAGACACUGGCUUGAACAUCGGAAACCUCAAAGCCCACCGGCUGUGACACACUCCUCCAACAAGCCACGCCUACUCCAUUAAGACCACACCUCAGGGCCCAUUUUCCUCUCAAACUACCACACUCCCCAGGGCUUGCUCAGGAUGGGUUUUGUGCUCUCCAGGACCAGCACCCACAGUAGGCGGAGCCUUCCCACACCGAUCAUUAAUCAAGACAAUUUUCCCCAUAGGGAAUUGCAUACAGGCCAGGCUUCGUGAGGAAUUUUCUCAAUUAUGAUUCCCUGUUAGAUGACUCUAGCUUGCAUCAGGUUGUAAACAAACAAACAAUGCCCCCCAAAUACUAGGACAAAAGGUAACCCCACCCCACUUUUGCCCACUUUCUUGUUUUCUUGUUUUACAAUUGUCUUGUAGUUAUGUCCCACUCCGCAGGGACAUUGACACACAGCAGGGCUUAAGGUGUAAGCAUAUAAAUAUAUAUAUAUAUAUAUAUAUAUAUAUAUAUAUAUAUGUAUCAGGGUGGAUAAGUAAGAGACCAUUUGUGGCAUUUAUAUCCAUGAUAUAACAAAUUAAUUGAGAAAUUUUGUCUUGUUUCUUGUGUAAAUCUCAGGUGAUCUUCCUAAUGGUGGCCAGUCUCUGGGAUCCAAGUGCCUACCCCCCUCACCCUUUGACUCUCAUGGAGGUUCUUUGAUUCUUUUUUUCUCCUGUAUCUUCGUUUGCAACUGCAAAACCAAAAGCCAUGGUACAGGCAAAUGGGCUAAGAGAAUAAUAUAUGAAGAGAUGGUUUUGCCAAUACAGUAAGGUGAUCCUAUCUCUAAUACACCCAAGCUUCCUAUCACAUCGAACAUUCCCAGCGAAAAAUACUUAGCAGGCAAAUUUAGUUUAUAGAAAAAUGAUGUUUUGAUCCAUUGCGGUGCCAUCCAAAGUAGAAUACAGAGUGUUUAUCCUAAAUGUAUCCUACAACGGUAUUUAAAAGUUAUUUUAUAUGCAUUUAUUCUCAUGCAACUUCAUACACACAGAGGGAGAGGGAACAGACAGACGGACAGACAGACACAAAGUACUUAGGUCAUAUCUCCCCUCACUUCCUCUCUGUGCCCCUUCCUCUUCCCACCAACCCCCUCCUUCCUGUCUUUUUAUGCCGCUGUAUUUAAUGAGGGCUGCCUGCAGGAACAUGGGCAUAACUGAGCAAAGAUGGCGUACCAGUGGCUACAGCAUUGAGGACUAUGUCCCCCCUGACUCCAACAACCAUUAACUACUCAGAGCUCCCCGGGGAGGCUUGGGUCCUUCUGAACCCCACCCCAAUUCGUGAUGGAAUGCUCCAUAAGUGUUUUCUUUUAAGUUAAUAAGAAACUCAAGUAAAAACUAGCCUGAAUAAUAAAGAUAGUGUCUGUUGGUUUAUGAGACCGAAAAGCCAAAGGGUUUUAAGUUAAUAAGAAGCUUGACUAAAACCCAGCUUAAAUGAUGAAGGCAGUGUCGGCUUGUGAGACCAAGAGCCAAAGGCGAAACCUUGGCUUCAAGUGAAGCUCGGCGUUGUCACCGAGGCUCUACCUUCCUUCUCUCUGCCUCCCUUGCUCUCAAGUGGCACUAUGUCUGUUCUAAAAUGGCUCCCCACAUGAUCCUAACAUGCUUUCAGUAGGUCCUAUGUACCCUGUUCCUGGCAGCCUCUAAAAGGAAUGCCCCUACUCAUCCUUAAGGCCAUGGACUGGUUCACUAUUCUUUAUUUUUAUUUUAUGUGCGUUGUGUGUGUGUGAGGGUGUCGGAUCCCCUGAAACUGGAGUUACAGAUAGUUGUGAGCUGUCCUGUGGGUGCUGGGACUCGAACCCGGGACCUCUGGAAGAACAUCUAGUAGUCUUCACAGCUGAGCCAUCUCUUCAGUACCUGGCUCAUUAUUCUUACUGGAGCCAAGUCUAACCCUAAAAGGAAACCAGAGAUAGUCAUUACUGAAGCUCUCCCUGCUGUUCCUUGCUGUCCAUUAUGACUGACUGACCAGGAUAAAUUAUUCAUAUUUCAUUCACAUUAGCACUCUCUUGUUCAGAAGGUGAGCUCCCUCCCCUAGCGUUGUGGCUCUUGGCCUUUUACUUUUUCCUGUAUGCAACCAUACAGGAAGGCUUCCUCCUACCCAUGUCUCUGUUAGAAUGCUGGUGUCUCGGUGACAGUGCCUCACAGUCCUGUCCCUGACUCACAGUGGGGGCUUCGCCAUUGCUCUUAUUUGGAACCUGAUGAGCCACAUGUUCUUGAUGGGACUCACUCUCUUUAUAAGGUGUUCAGAAUGCUUCCUAGGCUACUGUAUCUGCGAAAAGCAGCCCAGCAAUGGACAUGUGGUUGCCGAUCCCAGCUCUGAUAGUCAGAGGUUCGAAUGAAGGGUGACCAAGUCUCCUGGUACCCUGGAAGAUCACCACUAUUUUUGUUAGACAUUAACAUUUGAAAAGAAAAUGGUUGCUGAGGCUGGGACUUUUGGCAAUCCAGUUUGCCAAAUUCCCGGAGCUAGAUAGAGAGUAGAGACAAAAGAAGGCAAGGAAAGGGUUGGGGAUUUAGCUCAGCGGUAGAGCGCUUACCUAGCGAGUGCAAGGCCCUGGGUUCGGUCCCCAGCUCUGAAAAAAAGAAAAAAGAGAAAAAGAAGAAGAAGAACAAAAAGAAGGUGAGGAAAUCAGGGAAUCCUGUGAAAAGGGUGUACCGCACCAUCCAUCAACCCGGUGAGGGCAGCCAGAAGCCUACACUACUGUGCUUAGGAGAACACGCACUUACGGUGACUCUCUUUCCUGUGAAGAAGGGACAGUUACAUGGGACAUCUGUGCCUCAGGAAUUAAACUCCAAGGCACCUGCCUACUCUUGUUCAUGGCUGAUUAGUUCCUGGGAUACCAAGGAUCUACCUUCUAUCUACCCACCCACGCGUUUAUUCUUGAGGUGUGAUCUUUGCUAUGUAGUCAAGGCUGUCCAGAUCUAUGCAUCACUUCAACCGGCUUCAAACUCGUGAUCCUCCUGCCUCAGCCUCCUGAGUGCUGGGAUCACACACACACACACACACACACACACACACACACACGCACUGACUGCAUAGUUGUCUCUGCCUAAGCUGUUGUGAACUCGUUUCCCUGUUAGGUGAAAGUAAGCAACAAGGUCGUCUGUCUGUCGUGGUCUCCUGGGAGUCAUGGUCACUAGCACCGGGUGAGCACUUAGCACAGGACAGCUUCUGGUUUCAGCAGUACACGUGCCUGGGUUCCUGUGGAGUCAGGCAGCUCGGUCUAUGGCAGCACCGCUACGAAUGGGCAAGGAUGGGGUUUGAGGCGCCAUAUAGAUUCACAGUGUGGUGGUCUUUGCCAUGUCACUUCCCAGCGACCUUGUUGUCUUAAAAGUUAAAGCUUGUUUUAUAAUGUGUGUAUGCGUACAUGUUCACAUACAUGUGUACGUGACAUAUGUGUGCAGUGUGUCAGGAUCUCUGCCCGUCGUGCUCCAUUUUGGUUCCUGAGACAGUGAAGCUCACUGGUUUGGCCUGAACGGCUGGGCAGUGAGGUGCAGGGAUCCUCCUGUCUCUCUCCCCAGCACUGGGAUUAUAGGAAUAUGUCACCAUGCCUGGCUUCUUAGGUAGGUGCUGGGGAUCUGAGCCCAGGUCCUCAUACCUGAUAGCAUUUUUACCAACAGAGCCCCAGCCUGGAAUUGUACAUAUUUUAAUUAAUACUUCAGAGGCGAAAAGGACAGAUGAUUAUUGAUACUCAGUUGUGAACAAUGAAAUCUUAGUGAUGAAUUUACACUGUGUGCCCGUGUCCCCAAGAGGCAGCCACUUGAAACUUGUUUUUAGCCACCUAUGGAUGCUGCUUCAGCAAACCAGCUAUGGGUUAAGAAGGGGGCAGGGGGCUGGAGAAGGCAGGGGGAACAGAAGUCUGUCCUCAGGUGACACUUGCAAGUUAUUAAUAGAACAUAAAACAGAAGAACUUAAACUUUCUCAACAGAUAAAUUAGAGGGUAAUUAGCUGUAAUGGAAAACGAUUCUUUCUUUGGCCGAACAGUUCAUCAUUGAUUUCUUAAUCCUGUGCAUCCACGGGGUGUUUACAGUGGGACUCAGCAUAGAUAUAUUUCAUAUGUAUUAGGGUAGAGUCAGAAAUGUGAUUUAAGAGCAGAACCCAAAUUGAUCAUUAUUUCGAAAUGAGUGUGGGGGCUGAGCAUAGCAAUGAGUGCCUGCAAUCCCUGUGCUCAGGAGACAGAAAGAUCAGAAGUUCAAAGCCAGCCAGGGAUAUAGUGAGUUAAGAAACCUGUCUUAUAAUAAGACCUUGUCUCUAAUUGAGAGAGACAGAGGGGGAGACAGAGACAGAGACAGAGAGAGAGGAAAAGAAGAAGAGGAAGAGGAGGAGGAAGAGGAGGAAGAG